rnacentral:lncRNA from 1 species
GGACACCGCGCGGUGUCGGGGAGGCCCCGGGCGGAGGUUGUGGGCGGUCCGCGCCGCCUUGCGCGGAAAAAGCACCUCCAUAGUUCCCAGCUCCGCGGCCCGCCCCCUCCCUCUCAGCGCCGUGGCCGCUAUAGAAGGGCUGGCGCGGCAGCACAGCCAGCGGCAGUACGGUGCCUGUCCUCGGCAGUGCUGCCUUUAUCUCCACGUUUAUCACAGGGUUGCUGCCGUUCACCUUUCAUACAUCUUUUUUCCCCACGCUGUUUGUGGAGAAAACAGCAUGGUGUAUUGCCAUCUUGUGGCUGGUUUACCUAUACCGUGCUGAAAAUGCAAAUAAGGUAUAUCUCCAGAAUGCCCACAUAAACAUCUGCACAGAAAAUUAAAUACAGUGAAGGGAAGGGAUCUCUGCUCAGUAAUAUACAUCAGCCCAAGACGUGUCCUCCUGAACAGCAGUAGACUUGGGCUGGCACUUUAAUGCUUUCCUGGGUAAAGGAAAAUCUCAUAAAGAGAUCUGUGUUGAUUAUGAAACUGUCCUGCUUUAGUGACAGUGAGAAGAAUAAAUGACAAAGUGACUCUUGGUGGUUUCA